rnacentral:rRNA from 1 species
CCUAGGGUGGCUGCAGUGGGGAAUAUUGGACAAUGGGGGGAACCCUGAUCCAGCCAUGCCGCGUGUGUGAAGAAGGCCCUCGGGUUGUAAAGCACUUUCAGUGAGGAAGAACGCCUGGUGGUUAAUACCCAUCAGGAAAGACAUCACUCACAGAAGAAGCACCGGCUAACUCCGUGCCAGCAGCCGCGGUAAUACGGAGGGUGCGAGCGUUAAUCGGAAUUACUGGGCGUAAAGCGCGCGUAGGUGGCUUGAUAAGCCGGUUGUGAAAGCCCCGGGCUCAACCUGGGAACGGCAUCCGGAACUGUCAAGCUAGAGUGCAGGAGAGGAAGGUAGAAUUCCCGGUGUAGCGGUGAAAUGCGUAGAGAUCGGGAGGAAUACCAGUGGCGAAGGCGGCCUUCUGGACUGACACUGACACUGAGGUGCGAAAGCGUGGGUAGCAAACAGGAUUAGAUACCCGAGUAGUC